GACGAACGCUGGCGGCGUGCCUAAUACAUGCAAGUCGAGCGAAUCGAUGGGAGCUUGCUCCCUGAGAUUAGCGGCGGACGGGUGAGUAACACGUGGGUAACCUGCCUGUAAGACUGGGAUAACUUCGGGAAACCGGAGCUAAUACCGGAUACGUUCUUUUCUCGCAUGAGGAGAGAUGGAAAGAUGGUUUCGGCUAUCACUUACAGAUGGACCCGCGGCGCAUUAGCUAGUUGGUGAGGUAACGGCUCACCAAGGCGACGAUGCGUAGCCGACCUGAGAGGGUGAUCGGCCACACAGGGACUGAGACACGGCCCAGACUCCUACGGGAGGCAGCAGUAGGGAAUCUUCCGCAAUGGACGAAAGUCUGACGGAGCAACGCCGCGUGAGCGAAGAAGGCCUUCGGGUCGUAAAGCUCUGUUGUUAGGGAAGAACAAGUACAAGAGUAACUGCUUGUACCUUGACGGUACCUAACCAGAAAGCCACGGCUAACUACGUGCCAGCAGCCGCCGUAAAAC
rnacentral:rRNA from 1 species